GGACGUUUAAUGGGAUUCGUCCCAAGUUUGAAUCACAGGAAUGGAACUUCUAGGCUUUUUCUCCAUUAAACAAAACAACAAAGUUUCCUCUUCUUCUCUUUGAGUCGAUUUAGGACUUCAUAAAGACUUUGCCUGGUACUGUGAUUGUAUAGACUAACUUAAUAUUUUUCUCAACUUCGCGAUCGCGAGUGAGAUUUUUUCCUAAGACAAAUCCCAUUCAACGCCCGAGGAGACGAGGUGUUAAACCAUAAAUCAUAGUUAUGAAAGGAUUUGAUUUGCACUCCAAAUUGGUUCUCUCAAUAGCGUCAAAAAAAAAAAUUCAGGAAAAAAUUGACGCUGCAGAGAAGCGAGCGUGGUAGAGAUGACGUCAGUGCCAAUCUCGCGGGAAGAGGAAGCCAAGAGCAUCCGUUAAAAAGUGAAAAGAGAGCACCGGCAUUUUGUUCUCGUGCCAAAGAAAUGUGAGCCUCUGAUGUCAAAUAGUGCAGGAUAUGACUGAAUAUUCCGCCUUAAUGUCAGAGACUACUCCUCUGUCAUCAACGAACAGCCUGGCAGUGCCACGCAAAAAAGACACGCGUAUGAGUGACGCUGCUUUGGGACCUUGUUUCAUGAUUUGCAUCUAUGCUGUUCCCUGUUGCCAUAUACGCAUCGUCCGACCUAAUGUGCUCCGAUUUGGCAACUGCGUAUCGGUAGUGUGCGAAUCUAUAUCAGUGAUCAGCGUGGUCUCUUCUCUCAAUAUUCUUGAGCUUGUGCCCCCCUUGAACUUGACCCCGAUUUCGACUGGUUAGAAUAAUUAGGUACCUACUGGUUUGCGGCAUUGUCUCGAGUUGCUAAAAGCGACAUUAGGGUGAGUCUCCGUACUUUCAAAAGCAACAGCUUUCCCUCACCUUGCUUCGGAGGUGUAGUCCCUAUUAAGCCCUCUUCCACUGUUGAAAUGUAUUUAUCGCCGCACUUUGAAAAAGAUUCAGCCGCCAAAAUGUAUUGCAUUCAGGGCUUUUCAGACUUAAAGCAAAAAAUCUUUCUAUCGUCAAACUCUACUUUUAGGAGUCAAGAUAGCUUCUUCCAGGUUCUCCCCAUCGGAGCUGUACGAAAAGCUUCAACCACAUGUUUUGUAACUUGAGAACCAAUCUUCAGAAAUUUUCUUUAGGAGGUAUAUUGUGCAAAGAUAUCUCCUAGCGCGCUGCUCUUGCCUCCGGUGCGCAGCGCACCGUGCGCUAUCUUGCUCUCUCUUUCCGUCGCGGUUGCGAUUACUCCCUCCGGAGCAGGUGCCCUCCAAUUUUAUAAUAUGUCGCUCACUUAGAUCUCCUCAAUCAUGUUUUAAAUACAAUGAGAUGUUGUUUUUUUUUCGGGAAACUUAUAUAAUUUAAAAAAUCCUAAAUGCUGUAAAAGUGAGACUAGAAGUGCCUCGAAUAAAUGGCACAAUCGGGAGUUGAGAGCAAGGAGCCGUCUUCCUGCUCAUGGAUACUCUUAAAGAGCGGCGCCAAAAACGACCGUUUUUUGGAUUUGGGUCCGCGAGGAUUUUUCUGAAACCGGGCCCAAACGAUACCUUAUGAUACCCUAAAACUCUGGUAAAAAUUUCAGCUUGAGUAUACGCACAGUUUUUAGAAAUGGGGGGGGGGGGCAAAGUUGCCAAAACGCCAUCAUUCUGGACGGCAUUUUUACAGCAAAAAGACGGGAAAAUGGUCGAAAAAGAUGCACCUUUGAUGGAUUUUGGCUUUAAUGUUCUUAUUGGGCCUCUAAGCAUACAA
rnacentral:lncRNA from 1 species